CUCUUUAUAAGUUAAAAAAACUAUUGAAUUUUUACUUCAAUUUUACUACCUUGUUGAAGAGA
rnacentral:tRNA from 1 species